AUGAUCCUAAUUGCUCCCAGCACUCCUAUCUUUAUAGGUACAUUCCUGGCAUAUUAAAAGAUAGAAACUUCCAUUUCUGAGUUUCCAUUUCUAAAACUGUUCUAAGGACUCCUCUUGAUACAUUUCAGGGAUUGUGCCUGUCUCUGGACCAAUCAACAGUGCCAGGAGGAAGAGAUUAUAGGAAACGUCCUCUGAUUCUCAGAUAAAUGAAGAGCACCUUUCUCUGAAGCAAUCUAUCACUCACAACAAUUUAGUGGAUUAUAUCUUAAUAAACCAAAAUGUACAUUUACAAAUAAUGUAUUUUUCUUCCUGACUGAUUCCUCCAGAAUUUGGAAACUCUGAUUGAGUAUCUUAAUUUCAUGGCAAUGUAAGUAUUUGUAUAAGUCUGAUUAAAAACAAAGAAAAUUGGGAUAUUAAAACUAAUAGUAACUAUUAUAGGAUUACUGUGAGUUUUAAAAAGAAAAAAUAUAUAAUGCAUUUAGAACAAUCUCUGAGUUUAGUAAGUACUCAAUAAAGUUUAUUUUAUUCUUAUUUUUAUUUGUAUUGUUUUAUUUUUAUCAGUUCUCUGUUAGCAAUUAUCCCAACAGAUCCAAUGCUGUACUCAAAACACCAACCAGGCAUGAACACCUGUCAGGUCCCAGCCCAGCCUGCCCAAGCCUUUGCUCCCCACUCUGCCCUAUCCCUUCCAAAAAUGGAUCAAGAAAUUCUACUUUGAUGGUGCUAGCAACUUUAGCCAAAGCUGAAAUUAUUUGAAUAUCCUGG
rnacentral:lncRNA from 10 species